GGGGUAAUAGUCUAGAGGUAUGAUUCUCGCUUUGGGUGCGAGAGGUCCCGGGUUCGAUCCCCGGUUACCCCC
rnacentral:tRNA from 1 species